AUGUUACAGCUGAAAGUGGAGGGUAAGGUGCAUGUAGGGUUUUUGCAUGAGCCUGUGUCACAGUGCUGGGUGUUAAGCAGAGGUACCUUAUUGACUGUCCUGGCUCAGCCCAAGGCUUCACCUUCAGUCACCCUGUUUCCACCAUCCUCUGAGGAGCUCAAGGCCAAAAAGGCCCCACUGGUGUGUCUGAUAACUGACUUUUACCCAGGUGUUCUGACAGUGGCCUGGAAAGCAGAUGGUAUACCUAUCACUCAGGAUGUAGACACCAGUGAGCCUAUGAGACAGGGGUAACAAGUACAUGGCUAGUAGCUACCUGACCUUGACAGAAGAAGAAUGGAAAUCUAAAAGCAGUGUCAGCUGCCUAGUCACUCAUGAUGGGGACACUGUGGAGAAGAGCUUGUCCACUGGAGUGCAUUUCUAG